GAAAAACAAAAUAGAGUGUAAAGGGAAAAAUAAUUGCUUUAAAUUAGAAAACGUUUGUAUUACUGAGACAUAUUAGUCUGAAUAUAUUAUUGAAAAUCACUAAUACACAUUUGAAAAAUGUUUUGGACUUAGGUAAAAAUGAACAUCAUAAGUACCAUAUUUGAUGUGUUUUUGUUUAGUUUUUAAAGGUUUUUGUGAUUACCAUUGGAUUAGUAGAGUGAAAAGCUGAUCUUUCUAGAGAAAAAGUAAAUGGAAUUAUAAAGUUUUGCUGAUGUUUGGGAUGAUGAGUUUCUUCUCUGCCCAUCUCUAAUAUGGACCCACAUUAUUUUCUUAGGAAAUUUA
rnacentral:lncRNA from 1 species